GAUGAAGAACGCAGCGAAAUGCGAUACUUGGUGUGAAUUGCAGAAUCCCGUGAACCAUCGAGUCUUUGAACGCAAGUUGCGCCCGAAGCCAUUAGGCCGAGGGCACGCCUGCCUGGGCGUCACACGUCGUUGCCCCCCCAUCUACUCCUUCGGGAUUGCGGGGGCGGAUGAUGGCCUCCCGUGCGCCUCGCCGCGCGGUUGGCAUAAAUGCCAAGUCCUCGGCGACGCACGCCACGACAAUCGGUGGUUGCGAAACCUCGGUUGCCCGUCGUGUGCGGUCGUCGCGCAUCGAGGGCUCGAAAAAAUUGCCGGGUUCCGGCUCGGCUUUCAACGCGACCCCAGGUCAGGCGGGGUUACCCGCUGAAUUUAAGCAUAUCAAUAAGCGGAGGA
rnacentral:misc_RNA from 1 species